UGACCUGCGGAGGAUCAUUAUUGA
rnacentral:rRNA from 1 species